GAGGGGAUAGCUCAGUGGUAGAGUGCCUGCCUAGCAUGUGUGAGGUCAUGGGUUCAAUCCCCAGUGCCUCCA
rfam:Camelus ferus unplaced genomic scaffold scaffold459, whole genome shotgun sequence.